CUCCCCUCCUCCCGAGCCAGGUCAGGAGACAGAGGGUAGAGAAAGAAAGGGGCUGGGGACCUUUGGAAAAGCAGGAGUCUCCUUUCCUGGCCCCUCUCAAUCUCUGCAUUUCAUCUGACCCUCUAGGCCCCACCAAAAAAAAAAGCACAUCUGGGCAGAGAGUGUCGGAACAGAAGAGCUAUGUUGUCCCUUGCACCUUGAAGUGAUGAGCAUUGGCAGAUCUCCUGAUCUCAGCCUGGGGCUGCUGACGGUUCAGGUCCAUUUCAGAGAGAGAGAGAGAGCAACAUGCAUGGGGUGAACCUCAAAAGAGAAAAUCUGUGAGUCUUAGGUUUUCCUCUGCUACUCCUCAGCCUCUCGUGCGUUCUGUUUGUUCAUCUCUCUCUCUCUCCUCUCUUGUAGCUGAGACAGGCUGUCUAGACAUUGCAGAUGUGGACAGAUGUUGGGUCUGUAAUUUAUAACAACGGCCUCCAGAAGGCAAUUCCAAUUUGUUUCGGUAUGAAGAGUUCCAUCCUCAACACUGCAUAAGCCAGAUGUAUUGGCACAUGUCCAUAACCUCAGCAGUGAGGAGCUGGGAGCAGGAAGAUCAGAAAGAGUUCAAGGUUAUCCUCAGUUAUGUAACAAGUGUAAAGCCAGCCUACUAUCUAGGAGAUACUAAAGAUAGAAUACUAGGGCUGGAGAGAUGGCUCAGCAGUUAAGAGCACUGACUGCUCUUCCAAUGGUCCCGAGUUCAAAUCCCAGCAACCACAUGGCAGCUCACAACCAUCCUUAAUGAGAUCUGACUCCCUCUUCUGGAGUGUCUAAAGACAGCUGCAG
rnacentral:lncRNA from 1 species